GCUAACACUAGCCCUAAACACAACUAAUACUAAUAUCAAACAGACACACACACACUAAACCAUUCACCCAUAUAAAGUAUAGGCGAUAGAAAUUUUAACCCGGCGCUAUAGACACAGUACCGUAAGGGAAAGAAUAACACCACCCAAGCACAAAAUAGCAAGAACUAACCUCUGUACCUUUUGCAUAAUGAAUUAACUAGAAAUAGUUUCGCAAAGAGAACUAAAGCCAAACCCCCCGAAAUCAGACGAGCUACCCGAAAACAGCUAAAAGAGCGCACCCGUCUAUGUAGCAAAAUAGUGGGAAGAUUUACGGGUAGAGGUGACAAGCCUACCGAGCCUGAUGAUAGCUGGUUAUCCAAGAUAGAAUCUUAGUUCAACCUUGAGCUUACCUACAGAACCACUUAAUCCCUUUGUAAACUCAAUUGUUAGUCCAAAGAGGGACAGCUCCUUGGACACUAGGAAAAAACCUUACAUAGAGAGUAAAAACCACAACCACCAUAGUUGGCCCAAAAGCAGCCAUCAAUUAAGAAAGCGUUCAAGCUCAACAUUAACUACUCGAAAAAUACCAAACAUAUAACUGAACUCCUCAUCUCACAUUGGAUCAAUCUAUUAUCUCAUAGAAGCAAUACUGUUAGUAUAAGUAACAUGAAUAUCUUCUCCACCGCAUAAGCCUAAGUCAGACCGAAAACCUCACCGACACUUAACAGUUCAGUAUCAACAAACACAAACAAGCUAAUACUACUUUCACUGUUAAUCCAACACAGGCAUGCCUUAAGGAAGGUUACAAAAAGUAAAAGGAACUCGGCAAAACUAAACCCCGCCUGUUUACCAAAAACAUCACCUCUAGCAUUUCUAGUAUUAGAGGCACCGCCUGCCCAGUGACACACGUUUAACGGCCGCGGUACCCUGACCGUGCAAAGGUAGCAUAAUCACUUGUUCUCUAAAUAGGGACUCGCAUGAAUGGCAUCACGAGGGUUUAACUGUCUCUUACUUUCAACCAGUGAAAUUGACCUGUCCGUGAAGAGACGGACAUGAAUUAAUAAGACGAGAAGACCCUGCGGAGCUUCAAUUUACUAGUACAACUAAAAAUCACACAAACCCACAGGCCCCUAAACCCUCAUACCUGUACUAAAAAUUUUGGUUGGGGCGACCUCGGAGCACAGUCAAACCUCCGAACAAUCCAUGCUAAGACUACACAAGCCGAAGCAAACUAAUACUUGCAAUUGACCCAAUAAUUUGAUCAACGGAACAAGUUACCCCAGGGAUAACAGCGCAAUUCUAUUCUAGAGUCCAUAUCAACAAUAGAGUUUACGACCUCGAUGUUGGAUCAGGACAUCCUAAUGGUGCAGCAGCUAUCAAGGGUUCGUUUGUUCAACGAUUAAAGUCCUACGUGAUCUGAGUUCAGACCGGAGCAAUCCAGGUCGGUUUCUAUCUAUUCAACAUUUCUCCCUGUACGAAAGGACAAGAGAAAUAGGGCCCACUUCACAAUAGCGCCCCCCCCCACAUAAAUGAUCUAAUCUUAAUUUAACAAAACACCACAAAUCCCACCCAAGAACAGGGUUU
rnacentral:rRNA from 1 species